UUGAACGCUGGCGGCAUGCCUAACACAUGCAAGUCGAACGGGGUGUAGCAAUACAUCUAGUGGCGGACGGGUGAGGAAUACAUAGGAAUUUGCCCUUAAGUGGGGGAUAGUCCGGGGAAACUCGGUUUAAUACCGCAUGAUCUCGUGAGAGCAAAGCAGGGGACCGCAAGGCCUUGCGCUUUUGGAGAAGCCUAUGUCGGAUUAGCUAGUUGGUAGGGUAAUGGCCUACCAAGGCGACGAUCCGUAACUGGUCUGAGAGGAUGAUCAGUCACACCGGAACUGAGACACGGUCCGGACUCCUACGGGAGGCAGCAGUGGGGAAUAUUGGACAAUGGGCGCAAGCCUGAUCCAGCAAUGCCGCGUGUGUGAAGAAGGCCUUCGGGUUGUAAAGCACUUUAGGCUGGAAGAAAAGCUUCACCUAAUACGUGAAGACCUUGACGGUACCAGCAGAAUAAGCACCGGCUAAACU
rnacentral:rRNA from 1 species